UCCCCCAGUAACGGCGAGCGAAGCGGGAAGAGCUCGAGUCGGCAAUCUCUGGCGUGCUUCGCCAGCGAAUUGUGGCCUGGAGAGGCGGGUGCACCCGACGCGCCUCCGKCGAAGUUGACCUGGAAAGGCACGUCGGAGAGGGUGAUAGCCCCGUGCGGGRCGGAGGCGCCGAGGGCCGCUACCGUCUUCGGAGAGUCGGGUUGUUUGGGAUUGCAGCCCAAAGUGGGUGGUAAACUCCACCUAAAGCCGAAGAGCGGCACGAGACCGAUAGCGAACAAGUACCGUGAGGGAAAGGUGAAAAGCACUUUGGAAAGAGAGUUAAAGAGAACGCGAAACCGUUAGGAGGGAAACGCGUGGAGCCGAAGGGGCCUCCGUCGAGUUCACGGGACGCCGUGGUCCCGCCGUGUYUKCGAAGGCGGSYUWYSGGSNCCUUKCGGGCGGUGGGCCCCGAGKYCCUGCRCYYUYGGSGUYNYGGCCGGCCMARGGCGGUGGUAGUCCGUGGCGAGGAGGGCACUCGGGUAGGUGGUGCCUCCGUGGUCGGAGGCGAGCUUAUAGCCGUGUGUCCGGUCAGCGUCCCGGUUCCACCGAGGAGAGCGGUGGCCGAUGUCACCCGUUGUGCGCAGGCUCGCCCCUUCGGGGGUCGGGCCGGGGCGCUUCUGUCCGUU
rnacentral:rRNA from 1 species